CUCGGCGCAUUGGAGAGGUAGUAGCUAGCGCACGCCCUUCGUCCGUCAAGCCCAGUAGCCCACACCUGCACCUCUAUGGCACUAUUAGCACCUCUAUCUAGUUCUUCUCUCUUCAGCCUCGGAUCCAGGCGAGCACCAUACCCCUGCAAAUAAUAAGGUUACCAGCUUGCAGGCAGCCACAGGCACGGUACUUCAGAGCAAUACACUAUUACUUCCUCUGCCAGGAUUCAGGCACAGUAUUGUAUUUGGAAUUAUUGAACAGUGUAUUUCUUGUACAAUUCGACUCAUAAGUUUUUUAAGAUUCAUCACAGGCUUCAACUACAACUUGGCUAGAGAAAUUUUAAAAGAAGAGAAGUGAUGCGGGUAUAGUUACUUCAAGAUAAAAGCGUCAAAGUAAUGUAAAUGAGCUAUGGGCUUUUGAGCAAGCACGGAGCGAGGGCCACUGCCUGUGGUCUUGUUUCUUCAGGUAAAGAAAAACAGUUCUUCCUGAGUGAGGGGUAGCCAAGAUCGACGACUGGCGGCAGGUGUACAAGCCCACAACCACAAGUCGUCGUCCAGGCUCUCGACUCGAGGGAGAAGCAACUCCGAUCACUUGUUCAGAGUUGCAUGUCCCGUGAACUCAGGCAUGUUCAUUCGCCUACCUACCCAGAUCCCUGCUAUUCGACCCUCAAUUGUGAGUUCUGGAUGAGAUGAGUUCUUUCACGCAAUUCAGGGCCAGAAGUCCAUGCAGUGGCAAAAGCAGAACGCGUGUUGGAAGUCCAAGCGCAAGCCCAUCCCGGGAAGCUGCCUGUCGGAUGUCGAUGAACGCGUGUUGGAAGUCCAAGCGCAGAACGCGUGUUGGAAGUCCAAGCGCAAGUCCAUGCUGUGGCAAAAGCAGAACGAGUCAAUGGUGAUCGAUGAGACGCCGCGUUGUGUUGUUCUUGCAGUCUUGCUCAUCGUGCUCGCCGUGUUUCACAACUUAUGCAUUUACAUAUUGUGCCGUCUCGUCACUCGAAA